CUAUGCAGCGAAAUCCAAAGGCCUACCAGAUCCCAUCCGAACUCUGAAGUCAAGGUGCCUUUGGCCGGAUUAGUUCGGGAGGUUCGCACCCUCUUGGAACUUCCGGUGCUGCUUUAU
rnacentral:rRNA from 1 species